CUCUUAUUACGAGUGGCGUAGGGACUAGGCCCUGUGAUGCCCGGCAACCUUUCAAGUUAUGCUUGAAAAAGGUGCCAAUUCCUACAGAUGCAUGCAUCUGGCAGAUAAGAG
rnacentral:ncRNA from 2 species